GACGGACGCUGGCGGCGUGCUUAACACAUGCAAGUCGAACGGAAAGGCCCUGCUUUUGUGGGGUGCUCGAGUGGCGAACGGGUGAGUAACACAUGAGUAACCUGCCCUUGACUUUGGGAUAACUUCAGGAAACUGGGGCUAAUACCGGAUAGGAGCUCCUGCUGCAUGGUGGGGGUUGGAAAGUUUCGGCGGUUGGGGAUGGACUCGCGGCUUAUCAGCUUGUUGGUGGGGUAGUGGCUUACCAAGGCUUUGACGGGUAGCCGGCCUGAGAGGGUGACCGGCCACAUUGGGACUGAGAUACGGCCCAGACUCCUACGGGAGGCAGCAGUGGGGAAUAUUGCACAAUGGGCGGAAGCCUGAUGCAGCAACGCCGCGUGCGGGAUGACGGCCUUCGGGUUGUAAACCGCUUUCGCCUGUGACGAAGCGUGAGUGACGGUAAUGGGUAAAGAAGCACCGGCUAACUACGUG
rnacentral:rRNA from 1 species